CCAGCACCCCGAGUUGUCGGGACGAUUAUUGGGCCUAAAGCAUCCGUAGCCUGUUCUGCAAGUCCUCCGUUAAAUCCACCUGCUUAACGGAUGGGCUGCGGGGGAUACUGCAGAGCUAGGAGGCGGGAGAGGCAAACGGUACUCAAUGGGUAGGGGUAAAAUCCAUUGAUCUACUGAAGACCACCAGUGGCGAAGGCGGUUUGCCAGAACGCGCUCGACGGUGAGGGAUGAAAGCUGGGGGAGCAAACCGGAUUAGAUACCCGGGUAGUCCCAGCUGUAAACGAUGCAGACUCGGUGAUGGGUUGGCUUUGAGCCAACCCAGUGCCGCAGGGAAGCCGUUAAGUCUGCCGCCUGGGGAGUACGGUCGCAAGACUG
rnacentral:rRNA from 1 species